ensembl:snRNA U2 U2 spliceosomal RNA
AUCUGUUCUUAUCAGUUUAAUAUCUGAUACGUCCCCUACCCGGGGACCAUAUAUUAAAUUGAUUUUUGGAGCAGGGAGAUGGAAUAGGGGCUUGCUCCGUCCACUCCACGCAUCGACCUGGUAUUGCAGUAUUUCUAGGAACGGUGC